rnacentral:rRNA from 1 species
UGAUAUUUGAGUGACCGUACCGCAAACCGACACUGGUAGGUGGGUAGAAUAUACCAAGGGGAGCGAGAGAACCCUCGUUAAGGAAUUAGGCAAAUUUCCCCCGUACGUUCGCAAUAAGGGGGGCCUCUGGUGGUGAGCUUAGGCAAAGCCGCUGGAGGCCGCAGUGAAAUGGCUCUUCCAACUGUUUAACAAAAACACAGGUCUCUGCUAAGUCGAAAGACGAAGUAUAGGGGCUGACGCCUGCCCAGUGCUGGAAGGUUAAGGGGAGAGGUUAGGGGUAACCCGAAGCUUUGAGCCGAAGCCCCAGUGAACGGCGGCCGCAACCAUAACGGUCCUAAGGUAGCGAAAUUCCUUGUCGGGUAAGUUCCGACCCGCACGAAUGGCGUAAUGAGAGGAGCACUGUCUCAACGAGGGACUCGGCGAACAUUGAAGGACGUGUGAAGAUACACGUGACCCGCAGCGGGACAAAAAGACCCCGUGAAGCUUUACUACAACUUGCCAUUGAGUUAGGGCUAAACUUGUGUAGAAUAGGUGGGAGGCUUUGAAGCUGGGACGCCAGUCUCGGUGGAGCCACCGUUGAAAUACCACCCUGGUUUAGUCUUGGCUCUAACCUGUCGCCGUUAUCCGGCAUGGGAACAGUGGCUGGUGGGUAGUUUGAUUGGGGCGGUCGCCUCCGAAAGCGUAGCAGAGGCGCCCAAAGGUUCCCUCAGGCUGAAUGGAAACCAGCCGUUGAGUGUAAAGGCACAAGGGAGCUUGACUGCAAGACCUACAAGUCGCGCAGGGACGAAAGUCGGGCUUAGUGAUCCCACGGUUCAGAGUGGAAUGGCCGUGGCUUACCGGAUAAAAGCUACUCCGGGGAUAACAGGGUAGUCUGGUCCAAGAGUUCAUAUCGACGACCAGGUUCGCCACCUCGAUGUCGGCUCAUCACAUCCUGGGGCUGGAUAGGGUCCCAAGGGUUGGGCUGUUCGCCCAUUAAAGUGGUACGUGAGCUGGGUUCAGACCGUCGUGAGACAGGUCGGUCUCUAUCCGCUGUGGGCGUAAGGGAUUUGAGAGAAGCUGCCCCUAGUACGAGAGGACCGGGGUGGACGGACCUCUAGUGUGCCAGUUGUUCUGCCAAGAGCAUUGCUGGGUAGCUACGUCCGGCAGAGAUAACCGCUGAAAGCAUCUAAGUGGGAAACUCGUCUCAAGAUUAGAUCCCUCCUCCC